CUGUAAGCCGUUGAAGGUGUGCUGUGAGGCAUGCUGGAGGUAUCAGAAGUGCGAAUGCUGACAUAAGUAACGAUAAAGCGGGUGAAAAGCCCGCUCGCCGGAAGACCAAGGGUUCCUGUCCAACGUUAAUCGGGGCAGGGUGAGUCGACCCCUAAGGCGAGGCCGAAAGGCGUAGUCGAUGGGAAACAGGUUAAUAUUCCUGUACUUGGUGUUACUGCGAAGGGGGGACGGAGAAGGCUAUGUCAGCCGGGCGACGGUUGUCCCGGUUUAAGCAUGUAGGCGGAGGUUCCAGGUAAAUCCGGUACCUUGUUAACGCUGAGGUGUGAUGACGAGGCACUACGGUGCUGAAGUGAUAAAUGCCCUGCUUCCAGGAAAAGCCUCUAAGCAUCAGGUAACACGAAAUCGUACCCCAAACCGACACAGGUGGUCAGGUAGAGAAUACCAAGGCGCUUGAGAGAACUCGGGUGAAGGAACUAGGCAAAAUGGUGCCGUAACUUCGG
rnacentral:rRNA from 1 species